rnacentral:rRNA from 1 species
CGGACAGAGCUGGCGUAUCUGGCCUGUAUUCAGCCGUGCGUCCGUUGGCGUCAGGGAUGCCGCUCUCCAGAUUGGGACGGUGGCCUGUCUGCUGGCGGAUGUGUGGUGCAUUUGCAGGUGGAGUGCGCUGAGGCGCUCGGGUCAGCGGCAUGAGCUCAGUGUUGAGGCCAGCCCCUCACGGGGUCUGGUACCCGCAUUGUGGGGAGUGCUGUUUGUCCUGGGUGUGUGGAGGGCAAUGGUUUCGGGUUCGUGUGGGUGCCGGGCUGGCAGUCGGUGGCGGUCGCGUGCGACACGUGCCAGCGGUCAGUUCGGUCCUGCUCGAGCUCUCAUCUGCUCGUCCUCGGUGUAAAAGCCGGUCAUCUGUCCGACCCGUCUUGAAACACGGACCAAGGAGUUUAGCGUGUGCGCGAGUCAUUGGGCGUUGAAAACCCAAAGGCGCAAUGAAAGUGAAGGUCUCCCUUGCGGAGCUGAUGUGUGAUCCUGGGCACUGCGGUGCACACCGGGCGCAACAUAGUCCCGUCCCGAUCGCUUGCGAUGGGGCGGAGACAGAGCGUACGCGCUGAG